GUGGCGGAAUUGGCAGACGCGCUAGAUUUAGGUUCUAGUGUCUACGACGUGCAGGUUCAACUCCUGUCA
rnacentral:tRNA from 1 species